rnacentral:lncRNA from 1 species
GUAUUGACAAGCCUCAAAACUGACUACAUUAAUUGCAUAACAUCAAACCAAACAUAGUCAUCAAAACUAACUACAUUAACUACAUAACAUCAGACCAAACAUAGUCAUUACAGUUAGGCAUAACAGAGACAUGAUGGACACAAAACCUAAUACAUUAACUGCUUGAUCAAGCUAUUCACAUGCCUCAACAGGCCAAAUCCAAGGUGUUGACAGUGCACAGAAUCUGCAUGAAGUUGUCUUCCUCUUACAGCCACCUAUAAGAAUCUGCAUCACGCACUGGUAAAGCAUUUAAGAAACUGUAUUACGUUGAACUUCAUACCCAUAGCAGGCACAAUCACACUGUCUACCCCUUCGAUUCCAUCAUCUACGACUUUCUCACUUUCCAAAAUGUUGUUAGUUUGGGACUGUAAUAGAAUGACGUCAUCCGCCUCUUUCACAAUUUCCUUGCCCGCAGUAAUAAAACCAAUGACACAAUUCAUUCCCUCUUUCUCCAUAAUCAACAAAUUCUUAACAAAAUCGACAACAUAUGGGUGAAAAAUUUAAGCUUUCCCCUAAUUCUAUUUUAGUUUGACAGAAUAGGGUGAACAAUUAAUUGACCAUUUCAUUGAUUUUUGAUUCACAGUGAAAUAUCAUAUGACACCAAUCACAGCAAUCAAGCAGCAAUCACAAAAAUCAAGCCAAACAAUCACAAAAAUCAAGCAAGCUAAUCACAGAAAUCAAGCCAAUGUUUAGUUCCAUUACAAAUUUCAUUUUACCAUGUAUAGCUUGAACUUUUACCUAUAAAUGUACACACAACCAUUGUAAAAUGUAUGAAGUAAAACAUUAUGGUUUUGGCUUUCAUCUUCCUUCUUCAUUUGUGUGUAUCAAAUUUUAUUAUAUCAUGUAAUCAUAUUUUGAAGCUUAAAGGCAGGGAAAUACUAUCAUCUAAGAUGGGAAGUUUUAAGCUUCAUUAAGGAAAAUACCGUUGUUCAUCAUCUACUCAAAUCUGCUCGAAUCUAGGAAGCUCGAGGCAACUUCAAGACCGAGGAACACUUUCUUCCACAGCCCAGUUUCGAAUCUCACGGCCACUGCUUCAAUGGAGCGCAUGUACAACUCUUUCUUACGCAGUCAAACUGAAGCUGAAUGUGCUUGUUACGUCUUCUUCGCACCGGUAGAACUAUUUCUACCGCAGUCAAACUAUUUCGUCCUGUAGAACUCUUUCUUAGGCAGCCUCCGGCCAUGUCGACUGCUUCAAGUUGGAAGAACAACAUCUUCGAGCGCCAGUCGAUCUUACACAGUGCCGUCUGAAAUUU